CAGCCGUAAACUAUGCGCGUUAGGUGUAUCGGUGACCACGAGUCACCGAGGUGCCGAAGGGAAACCGUGAAACGUGCCGCCUGGGAAGUACGGUCGCAAGGCUGAAACUUAAAGGAAUUGGCGGGGGGAGCACAACAACGGGUGGAGCCUGCGGUUUAAUUGGACUCAACGCCGGACAACUCACCGGGAACGACAGCAAUAUGUAGGCCAGGCUGAAGACCUUGCCUGAAUCGCUGAGAGGAGGUGCAUGGCGUAGACGUCU
rnacentral:rRNA from 1 species